CUGGACCAUUUGAUGUGAAAUCUGUGGCACAGAUCGGGCUUUUAGAUCUGGUGGAACAUUUUUGCAUCAAACACCCCGUUCUACUCCAUAUUUUGGUAAUGUAUCCUUCCAUCCCCACGCGCUCUGUUCAGCCCUAGUUCCCAAAUCCACCUCCAGUCCAGGCGAAGCCGACGGCGGUAGUGGCGUUCCGCCGUUCCCCAUCCUGUGCCGGCGUGUACCGACGGAGACAACGACAUUCCUUCCUUCUUCCCCUCUCUCGUGCGGCGGCAAUGGAGGCCUAGCGACGGUGGCUGCAGCUCGUAAAGCGAGCUUGGGACGGUGCCACAAAAUCGCCCACGGUUCGUUGUGCUUUUUCCUGAAAUCUAAUUGUUCUUCUAAAUGGAGGGGACCAGUGCAACCUCACCAUCACCAAUCCUUGCAUGCCCGGCCAAUCCGCGUACCGUACCAACUAUCUCAGACUCAGUCAAUAGCUUGGGAAUGACAGAAUUAAGUGAUGCCAACUCUUUUUCAGAGAUUAAUUCUAGGAUGCUUCCUCUUAGUGAAUUCUCUACACCCAAGAAGAGACAAUGCUUUUCGCAAGAUGGCUCAUUGCAUAAACCAGUGUGCGACGAGGCAAUAAAACCAAUAGUAGGCAUGAGAUUUGAUGACAUUGCUUCUGUAGAGGCAUUUUACAAGAACUAUGCACACCACGUGGGAUUUGGUGUCCGUCUUGGGUCACAAAGGAUGGUGAACAAUGUAAUUCACUGGAAGCGUUUCUUAUGCGCAAGGGAGGGAUACCGUUCCACAAAAGAUACUCAUACUGUUGACUACUUGGAUAAAAAUGCUUCAAAUAAAAGGCGCAAGGUCAAAAUAACAAGGUAAGAGAAGUUAAUUUACAAACAACAACCAUGAUAACCAAAUGUUCGUGUAUGCUUUUUGAGAACAAGGGAAUUGUGUGCCGCCAUGUCAUACGUGUCCUGAGGGGAGCAAAGAUAAAUGAACUUCCAAAUUUUUAUAUACUCAAAAGAUGGGAGAAGAUGUGCAAAAGAGACAUUGUCUAUGAUGGAGAUGGAAAUCCACUUGAUGAUAAUCCCAUUGACUAUGUUGACAUGGAAACAAGACGAAAGAUCUCGGUAGCACGGAACAAAUUCGAAGAUCUCAUCCGACAUGCGAAAAACUCAAGUGGAGGACUGGACUUGCUCCAUUCGGGUCUGUGUGAUUUGGAAUCAACUAUUUCCCAGUCUACGCUUGCUGUAGCUCAUACUUCACAACAAGAACAAGAAUCAUUUGUUGGUAGCUCCUUCCCUACCCAAGUUGAUAUCCUAACACCUACCAAUAUCGACGCAAGAGGCACAUGCUCGAGAAUUAAGGGCCAUCGAGACAAGGAAAAGAAGGCACAGCCAAAGAAAAAAUUAGGUGUUACUGUACGGGUGCCACGCGUUUGCGGCACAUGCAAAGAACUUGUGCUACAUGACAGCCGUAAAUGUCCGAAGAAAAAAUAAAAAUGUUUUAUCUUUUCAAGGUCCUUAAAUCACUGUAUAUAAGCUAGUGUUGGAUUGUUCAUCGCUUGACAUCUCAUGUUGUUGGGAGCUCUGUAUACUAUGUAGUGAGCUGAAAAACUGGUUCAAUGGGCAUAGUAACUCGUCAGCACAUAUGUUCUAAAUUCACUUAUGAAUUUCACUGUUAUUCAUUA